UGGGGAAUAUUGGACAAUGGGCGCAAGCCUGAUCCAGCCAUGCCGCGUGAGUGAUGAAGGCCCUAGGGUUGUAAAGCUCUUUUCUCACGGAAGUAAUUCUGGGAGGUAAUGCCCGGGAGAUGACGUUACGUGAGGAAUAAGCACCGGCCAAUUAC
rnacentral:rRNA from 1 species